ACUCAAAUGAAUUGACGGGGGCCCGCACAAGCGGUGGAGCAUGUGGUUCAAUUCGACGCAACGCGAAGAACCUUACCUGGGCUCGAAAUGGAGUGGACCGGGGUGGAAACAUCCCUUUUCGCAAGAACUGCUCUAUAGGUGCUGCAUGGCUGUCGUCAGCUCGUGUCGUGAGAUGUUGGGUUAAGUCCCGCAACGAGCGCAACCCUUAUCGUUAGUUGCCAGCGGGUUAUGCCGGGUACUCUAGCGAAACCGCUUCGGAUAACGGAGAGGAAGGUGGGGAUGACGUCAAGUCCUCAUGGCCUUUAUGUCCAGGGCUACACACGUGCUACAAUGGCCGGUACAAACCGUCGCAAACCCGCGAGGGGGAGCUAAUCGGAAAAAGCCGGCCUCAGUUCGGAUUGGAGUCUGCAAUUCGACUCCAUGAAGCUGGAAUCGCUAGUAAUCGCGGAUCAGAACGCCGCGGUGAAUACGUUCCCGGGCCUUGCACACACCGCCCGU
rnacentral:rRNA from 1 species